rnacentral:rRNA from 1 species
AUUGAACGCUGGCGGCAGGCCUAACACAUGCAAGUCGAGCGGAGCGGCGGACGGGUGAGUAAUGCCUGGGAAUCUGCCUGGUAGUGGGGGAUAACGUCCGGAAACGGGCGCUAAUACCGCAUACUAUCAGAUGAGCCUAGGUCGGAUUAGCUAGUUGGUGGGGUAAAGGCCUACCAAGGCGACGAUCCGUAACUGGUCUGAGUGGAUGAUCAGUCAAACUGGAACGGAGACACGGUCCAGACUCAUAGGGGAGGCAGCAGGGGAGAAUAGUGGAAAAUGGGCGAAAGCCUGGUACAGCCAUGCCGCGUGUGUGAAGAAGGUCUUCGGAUUGUAAAGCACUUUAAGUUGGGAGACGUUACCAACAGAAUAAGCACCGGCUAACUUCGUGCCAGCAGCCGCGGUAUA